CCCGCUGAACUUAAGCAUAUCAAUAAGCGGAGGAAAAGAAACCAACAGGGAUUGCCUCAGUAACGGCGAGUGAAGCGGCAACAGCUCAAAUUUGAAAUCUGGUCUUUAUGAGGCCCGAAUUGUAAUUUGUAGAGGAUGUCUUCGGGUUUGGCCCCGGCCUAAGUUCCUUGGAACAGGACGUCACAGAGGGUGAGAAUCCCGUAUGUGGCUGGAGGUCUAUACCCAUGUGAAGCUCCUUCGAUGAGUCGAGUUGUUUGGGAAUGCAGCUCAAAAUGGGUGGUAAGUUUCAUCUAAAGCUAAAUACCGGCAGGAGACCGAUAGCGCACAAGUAGAGUGAUCGAAAGAUGAAAAGCACUUUGGAAAGAGAGUUAAAAAGUACGUGAAAUUGUUGAAAGGGAAGCGCUUGCAACCAGACUUGCCCUCAGCUGAUCAACCAGUGUUAUUCACUGGUGCACUUGGUUGAGGUCAGGCCAGCAUCGGUUUGAACGGUUGGAGAAAGGUCAGAGGAAUGUGGCUCCCUUCGGGGAGUGUUAUAGCCUGUGAUGCCAUGCAACCAGUUUGGACCGAGGACCGCGCUUUGUGCUAGGAUGCUGGCGUAAUGGUUGUAAGCGACCCGUCUUGAAACACGG
rnacentral:rRNA from 1 species